UGUUGGUAGCAUUCAAAUCAACAUAGCAAGUUAAAAUAAGGGAUUAUCCGUCCUCAGCUUUUUAAGCAAGCACUGUCUCGGUGCUUUUUUA
rfam:Enterococcus ratti strain DSM 15687 Scaffold4, whole genome shotgun sequence.